rnacentral:misc_RNA from 1 species
CGCCUGCUAAAUAGUUGAGCGAAUGCCUAGCAUUGGCGUCAACUUCUUAGAGGG